rnacentral:rRNA from 1 species
GACGAACGCUGGCGGCGUGCUUAACACAUGCAAGUCGAACGGAAAGGCCUUUUCGGCGGUACUCGAGUGGCGAACGGGUGAGUAACACGUGGGUGAUCUGCCCUGCACUCUGGGAUAAGCCUGGGAAACUGGGUCUAAUACCGGAUAGGACCGCACUUUAGUGUGUGUGGUGGAAAGUUUUUUGGGUGUAGGAUGAGCCCGCGGCCUAUCAGCUUGUUGGGGGGGUAUUGGCCUACCAAGGCGGCGACGGGUAGCCGGACUGAGAGGUUGGUCGGCCACAGUGGGACUGAGAUACGGCCCAGACGCCGACGGGAGGAAGCAGUGGGGGAUAUUGCACAAUGGGCGCAAGCCUGAUGCAGCGACGCCGCGUGGGGGAUGACGGCCUUCGGGUUGUAAACUCCUUUCGCCAGGGACGAAGCGUUUUGUGACGGUACCUGGAGAAGAAGCACCGGCUAACUACGUG